rnacentral:misc_RNA from 1 species
GAUGAAGAACGCAGCGAAAUGCGAUACGUAAUGUGAAUUGCAAAUUCAGUGAAUCAUCGAGUCUUUGAACGCACAUUGCGCCCCCUGGUAUUCCGGGGGGCAUGCCUGUUCGAGCGUCAUUUCAACCAUCAAGCCCCAGGCUUGUGUUGGGGACCUGCGGCUGCCGCAGGCCCUGAAAACCAGUGGCGGGCUCGCUGUCACACCGGGCGUAGUAGAUUUUAUCUCGCUCAGGGCGUGCUGCGGGUUCCGGCCGUUAAAAAGCCUUUUUUACCCAAGGUUGACCUCGGAUCAGGUAGGAAGACCCGCUGAACUUAAGCAUAUCAAUAAGCGGAGGA